AAUCAACGCUGGCGGCGUGCCUCAGACAUGCAAGUCGAACGAUUAAAGCUCUCUUCGGAGAGUGUAUAGAGUGGCGCACGGGUGAGUAACACGUAAGUAAUCUACCUUUGAGUGGGGAAUAACGUCCGGAAACGGACGCUAAUACCGCAUAAUGCAGCGGCAUCGCAAGAUGACAGUUGUUAAAGAUUUAUCGCUUGAAGAGGAGCUUGCGGCAGAUUAGCUAGUUGGUAAGGUAAUGGCUUACCAAGGCUACGAUCUGUAACCGGUCUAAGAGGACGGUCGGUCACACUGACACUGAAUAACGGGUCAGACUCCUACGGGAGGCAGCAGUCGGGAAUUUUGGGCAAUGGGCGAAAGCCUGACCCAGCAACGCCGCGUGAAGGAUGAAGUAUUUCGGUAUGUAAACUUCGAAAGAAUGGGAAGAAUCAAUGACGGUACCAUUUAUAAGGUCCGGCUAACUACGUGCCAGCAGCCGCU
rnacentral:rRNA from 1 species